rnacentral:rRNA from 1 species
UACGGAGGGGGCUAGCGUUGUUCGGAAUUACUGGGCGUAAAGCGCACGUAGGCGGCUUUGUAAGUUAGAGGUGAAAGCCCGGGGCUCAACUCCGGAAUUGCCUUUAAGACUGCAUCGCUAGAAUUGUGGAGAGGUGCGUGGAAUUCCCGGUGUAGCGGUGAAAUGCGUAGAUAUCAGGAGGGAACACCGGUGGGCGAAGGCGGGUCUCUGGGCCGAUACUGACGUGGAGGAGCGAAA